AUACGGAGGGUGCAAGCGUUAUUCGGAAUCACUGGGCGUAAAGGACGCGUAGGCGGGUUGGCAAGUCAGAUGUGAAAUCCUACAGCUUAACUGUAGAACUGCAUUUGAAACUGCUAACCUAGAGUAUGGGAGGGGGAGAUGGAAUUAGUGGUGUAGGGGUAAAAUCCGUAGAUAUCCCUAAGAAUACCGAAAGCGAAGGCGAUCCCCUGGAACAUAACUGACGCUAAGGCGUGAAAGCGUGGGGAGCAAACAGGAUUAGAAACCCCAGUAGUCC
rnacentral:rRNA from 1 species